CCUACGGGUGGCAGCAGUGAGGAAUAUUGGUCAAUGGACGAGAGUCUGAACCAGCCAAGUAGCGUGAAGGAUGACUGCCCUAUGGGUUGUAAACUUCUUUUAUAUGGGAAUAAAAUGUUCCACGUGUGAGAUUUUGUAUGUACCAUAUGAAUAAGGAUCGGCUAACUCCGUGCCAGCAGCCGCGGUAAUACGGAGGAUCCGAGCGUUAUCCGGAUUUAUUGGGUUUAAAGGGAGCGUAGGUGGAUUGUUAAGUCAGUUGUGAAAGUUUGCGGCUCAACCGUAAAAUUGCAGUUGAAACUGGCAGUCUUGAGUACAGUAGAGGUGGGCGGAAUUCGUGGUGUAGCGGUGAAAUGCUUAGAUAUCACGAAGAACUCCGAUUGCGAAGGCAGUUCACUGGACUGCAACUGACACUGAGGCUCGAAAGUGUGGGUAUCAAACAGGAUUAGAUACCCGAGUAGUC
rnacentral:rRNA from 1 species